GGCACUUGGUGCCUGUGGCAAACGACUGCUACACUGUGCUGCUCGACCAGGAUACCAACCUGAUGCACAGCAUCUGGGAGAGACAGAGUAACCGAACGGUGCGCGUGACCCAGGAAUUCCUGGAGUACCACGUCAACGGGGAUGUGAAACAGGGCCCCAUUUCUGAUAACUACCUGUUCACACCGGGCAAGGCCGCAGUGCCCGCGUGGGAAGCUGUGGAAAUGGAGAUCGUGGCGGGACAGCUCGUGACUGAGAUCCGGCAGUACUUCUACAGCUCCCGGGCCGUGCUUGACACGUGGUUUGAUGAAGAAAUGAAUUGCUCUGGUGUCUGUGUGCUGGCUGCGUUUGCGUGUGGUGUCACAUUGGUUGGGAGCUAAGUUCAGAGCUGAGAGAGAGACCCACAGACCCUGGGGCCCACAGAGCACCUGUUCUUCCAUGAUCAGAGCAGAUGAACAUGACAGCACGGAAUUACACGUAUGCAAUCCGCUCCCGGCUCACCCAUGUGCCGCAGGGCCAUGACGGGGAGCUGCUCUGCCACCGGAUAGAGCAGGAGUACCAAGCCGGCCCCCUGGAGCUGAACCGCGAGGCUGUCCUGAGGACCAGCACCAACCUAAACAGCCAGCAGGUCAUCUACUCAGACAACAACGGCUACCAGAUGCAGCGGAGGCCCUACGUUUCCUAUGUGAACAACAGC
rnacentral:sRNA from 1 species